ACAAGUACCGUGAGGGAAAGUUGCAAAGCACUUUGAAGAGAGAGUUAAAGAGGACGUGAAACCGAUGAGGUGGAAACGGACAGAGCCGGCGUAUCUGGUCCGCAUUCACCCGUUGGGUGCUGUUCGUUGGGCUGCCCAGCUCCAGACUGGGUUGGCUGUCCAUCUGUUCAGCGCCUGAUGGGGCAUUUGCGGGCGGAGUGCGCUGAGAUGCUCGGGGCAGCGGUGUGAGCUUGGCUUUGAGGCCAGCCUUUUCGGGGUCUGGUACCCGGGUCGGGGGAGUGCUGUUUGUCCUGAGUGCCGUGUGAGCACAAUGGUCACGGGUCCGUGUUGGUCCGAGCUGACGGUCGGUGGCGGUCGCAUGCGACACGUAUCGGCAGCUAGUUCGGUCCAGCUCGGGCUCUCGUUUGUGUGUGUUCUCGGUGUAAAAGCCGGUCAUCUGUCCGACCCGUCUUGAAACACGGACCAAGGAGUUUAGCGUAUGCGCGAGUCAUUGGGUGUUCAAAACUCAAAGGCGUAAUGAAAGUGAAGGCGUCCUUGCGGAGCUGAUGUGUGAUCCCGGGCACUGAGGUGCUUGGGCGCAACAUAGUCCCGUCUCGAUUGCAUGCAAUGGGGCGGAGACAGAGCGUAUGCGCUGAGACCCGAAAGAUGGUGAACUAUUCCUGAGCAGGAUGAAGCCAGAGGAAACUCUGGUGGAAGUCCGAAGCGAUUCUGACGUGCAAAUCGAUCGUCUGACUUGGGUAUAGGGGCGAAAGACUAAUCGAACCAUCUAGUAGCUGGUUCCUUCGCA
rnacentral:rRNA from 1 species